rnacentral:rRNA from 1 species
CCCGCUGAACUUAAGCAUAUCAAUAAGCGGAGGAAAAGAAACUAACAAGGAUUCCCCUAGUAACGGCGAGUGAAGAGGGAAAAGCUCAAAUUUGAAAUCUGGCAGUCCUUGUGGCUGUCCGAGUUGUAGUUUAGAGAAGUGCUAUCCGCGUUGGUCUGUGCAAAAGUUUCUUGGAAAAGAACAUCAUAGAGGGUGACAAUCCCGUCUUUGGCACAGAUAACCAGGGCUUUUGUGAUGCGCUCUCGACGAGUCGAGUUGUUUGGGAAUGCAGCUCUAAAUGGGUGGUAAAUUCCAUCUAAAGCUAAAUAUCGGCGAGAAACCGAUAGCGAACAAGUACCGUGAGGGAAAGAUGAAAAGAACUUUGAAAAGAGAGUUAAACAGUACGUGAAAUUGUUGAAAGGGAAACGCUUGAAGUCAGUCGCGUCCUUCAGAAAUCAAGUCAACUUUGGUUGACCGCAUUUUCUGUUAGGAUGGGUCAGCAUCAAUUUUGACCGCUGGAUAAAGUCUUUGGGAAUGUGGCAUCCUCGGAUGUGUUAUAGACCAAGGUUCAGAUACAGUGGUUGGGAUUGAGGAACUCAGCAUGCCUCUAUGGUUGGGGCUUCGGCUCACAUAGCGUGCUUAGGAUGCUGGCAUAAUGGCUUUAAUCGACCCGUCUUGAAACACGG